rnacentral:lncRNA from 1 species
AUUCUAGCACCCCAACGCCUACCUCAGCCCCCAACUCUAAAUAACUUCUUUCCACCUUGCUAAGAAUGCAACGUUGUGAUUCACAUCAAGCUUUAGGAGGCUCCCCAUAUGUAGGGAACUGGGGUGAGGGGCAGGGCAGGAUUCACUGUUCCAGGUUACGGAGCUUUGGUUAACACGGAGAGAAGCUACACAUAGACUCACACAGUAUGCAAAUACCUAUGGAGAUACAUAAGGAAAGGCCCCGGCCUGGUUAAGGAAAAGGAGCCGAUAAAACCUCUCCAGUAUGCAUUCUUAGAAACCAGAUAUACAAAGACAAGAUCUCUGCUUUCAAGAAGCUCUCAAUCUGAUUGAGGAGAGAAACAGGUAGCAAAUAAUGGCAGCAGAGCAUGGUCAUUCAACAUUUAUUCAACCAAAAAUACUAAGUCAGCUCUAUACAAACUAAUGGAAGGAUACAGCUAUGCAAAUAUAGAACACUAAAGUGUUACAUGACAGAUGUAUGAGAAGUACCUUUUGCCUCCCACUGUGAUUCUGAGGCCUCCCCAGCCAUGUGCAACUGUAAGUCCAAUGAAACCUCUUUUUCUCCUCAGUUUUGGGUAUGUCUUUAUCAGCAGCGUGAAAAUGGACUAAUACGAUCACCCUCUUCUUUGUUCUCCUUUCUAUUUCAUCUCUAAUUUUUUUUGGCAUUUGGAGGGUGCUAUACAUUGCAAAAGUUGGGGACUCACUAAUUCCACUGCUCACUGUAUAUCAAGGUAAUCUGUCAGGGGUUUGGUUUUAUAUAAGAAACAAAUGAGUCCCCAGAACAUACAAGUUAAGAUUAUUCAAUCAAGGGAGGCAGUCA